rnacentral:rRNA from 1 species
UUGGAAACUGUCGAACUUGAGUGCAGUAGAGGUAAGUGGAACUCCAUGUGUAGCGGUGGAAUGCGUAGAUAUAUGGAAGAACACCAGUGGCGAAGGCGGCUUACUGGACUGCAACUGACGUUGAGGCUCGAAAGUGUGGGUAGCAAACAGGAUUAGAUACCCUGGUAGUCCACACCGUAAACGAUGAACACUAGGUGUUAGAGGGUUUCCGCCCUUUAGUGCCGAAGCUAACGCAUUAAGUGUUCCGCCUGGGGAGUACGACCGCAAGGUUGAAACUCAAAGGAAUUGACGGGGACCCGCACAAGCGG